AUAUCAAUAAGCGGAGGAAAAGAAACCAACAGGGAUUGCCUCAGUAACGGCGAGUGAAGCGGCAUCAGCUCAAAUUUGAAAUCUGGCGUCUUCGGCGCCCGAGUUGUAAUUUGUAGAGAGUGUCUCGGGUGGAGCACCGGUCCAAGUCCCUUGGAACAGGAUAUCAUAGAGGGUGAGAAUCCCGUAUCCGGCCGGCCCCCUCCCCCCGCUGUGAGGCCUCUUCGACGAGUCGAGUUGUUUGGGAAUGCAGCUCUAAAUUGGAGGUAAAUUCCUUCUAAAGCUAAAUACUGGCCAGAGACCGAUAGCGCACAAGUAGAGUGAUCGAAAGAUGAAAAGCACUUUGAAAAGAGAGUCAAACAGUAC
rnacentral:rRNA from 1 species